rnacentral:misc_RNA from 1 species
UGAAAUAGCCUGGUAUGCUUCGAUACAGCAGGAGCCGAAUGGCUGGAAGACCGUCACCACACAGUUCUACAUCCAGGAAUUCAGUGAGUAUAUUGCGCCACUGCAGGAUGCUGGGAAAUCGCAACGGAGGAAGAAAGAUCGUUGCUGGAGGCAUGGAAUAAAUAUCGGGUAUUGUUGAAUCAUGUUGAUACAUCAGU